GUUAAUGUAUAACUAAUAGUUGUCUUUAUGUCGAAGAAUAUAAAAUGCAACGCAUUCAACUAUAUACCACGGUCUAUGCAAUCCAUACCAAGUGGUGACAUCAUAUUAUACUAUGCAGAUAUUGUUGAAUGAUAUAAAGAUGGAAGCUUGCAAUUAAUGGUGGCAAUAUUAAUUCACCUUAUGACAAACUGUGUGUGCAUAUUCUGUGCAACACACCUACACGCAUGCGUUUCACUAUAUGCCACUGAAGUUGAACAAUGUGACAAAUAGUUGUACACAUCUGUAUUCGUGAAUUAAUGAAAAUCAACUGAUGCUUGUGUUGACAACAUCCAAAACAAAGAAAAAAUUGGAAGCAGUCAACCGAAAGAGCAAUUUUGUUUCAGAGCCAUUUCAGAGCCCAGAUUUGAACAACUGCCGUAGUAAAUCGGGGCAUUGUACCAGGAUCAGCAGCUAACGUGCUGUUAGCGCACACUUAUCGGAGACCAACGUCCGCUUCAUUUGCAAACAUCAGCAAACAUCCAUGGCGACCCGGUAUGCAAGCUGGAGCGGGAAACAAACUGCGAAGGAGUUGGUCCAAGGACACAUUCAAUUUAGACAUAAGUGAUGAUGGAGUCUAUCACGGUUAAUAAAAGUAAUUGUUCAUUGAUUAUA